UCUAUAUUGAAACCCGUUCCUUUAGAUAGC
rnacentral:piRNA from 1 species